GUGGGGAAUCUUCCGCAAUGGACGAAAGUCUGACGGAGCAACGCCGCGUGAGUGAUGAAGGUCUUCGGAUUGUAAAGCUCUGUUAAUCGGGACGAAAGAGCCUAGUGUGAAUAAUGCUAGGAAGUGACGGUACCGGAAUAGAAAGCCACGGCUAACUACGUGCCAGCAGCCGCGGUAAUACGUAGGUGGCAAGCGUUGUCCGGAAUUAUUGGGCGUAAAGCGCGCGCAGGCGGAUCUGCCAGUCUGUCUUAAAAGUUCGGGGCUUAACCCCGUGAUGGGAUGGACACUACAGAUCUAGAGUAUCGGAGAGGAAAGUUGAAGUCCUAGUGUAGCGGUGAAAUGCGUAGAUAUUAGGAAGAACACCAGUGGCGAAGGCGACUUUCUGGACGAAAACUGACGCUGAGGCGCGAAAGCCAGGGGAGCGAACGGGAUUAGAAACCCGAGUAGUCC
rnacentral:rRNA from 1 species